AUCUCCUCAUCCUUGCCACGCUGCCCUUGGGCUCCUGUUCCAGAUGCCAGCGUGGGUGGUCCACGCCCUGCCAGUCCGUGCUCCUCUCCGUUUAGAAGCAGCCCACCAAUUCCUGGCACCAGUCACCGAUUCCUCCCAGGUGGACCCCACAGACACUGGGCCAAGGACCUUCUCCUUUAGGGGACGUCCCAGCUCCUGGCUACCUUCUGAGGUGCUCGGAAAACCCUCUGACCAGAAGGUGAGGGAGGCAACAGCUGGGAUGACUGGGGCACAACCAGUGGUCUGGCCACGCUUCCUCUGGUGGCCUUCAGGGCCUUACAAACACCGACAGACGUUACCUCCAGGACCCUCACGAGGACCCUCUGCGUCAAGCUGUCAUCGUCACUCCUGUUUUACAGGCUGCUUGGAAAAACUGACCAGGAGCUCUGAGCAAGGGCGGAGGACAGGCUCAUGGAGGGCAGUAGACGGGACUCGGGGCCACGGCAGCAAGGAGGACCCAGGACGGAGGACCGUGGAGCCCCGCGAUGGUGUCACACGCUCCCAGACCAACCGGGGCCACCCUCCUCCGAGCAGUGGGGCAGGCGGCACCCGCUGAGGGCAGGUGCAGACGCAGUGCCUUUGGGUCUGCAGGCCGGGGAGGCCCCCUGGAGGACCAGCUUGCUCUGAGGGGUAACAGCAGGGGCCGACGACCGGGAACUCGAGAGACAGGCCAGCACCCGGCUCUAACGACCGACCGCCUGCUUGCUUCACUGUCAGCCUCCUCGGCAGCAGGACGCUCCCACACCUGUCUGGCCUACGUGUUCUUCAGACCACGUCCUCAUCUGCCGUCAGAAUUCUAUUCUUUAGGACUCCCACCCUGGGCCUUGCCCAAAUCACUUGCUUUUCCCCCCUUACUAGGGGACCCCGUUUUUUUCUGGCAUCUAUGCACUCUGUGCUUCCCUCGUGGCUCAGAUGAUGAAGAAUCGGCCCCACAAUGCAGGAGACCCGGGUUCAAUCCCUGGGUCAGAAAGAUCCCCUGGAGAAGGACAUGGCAACCCAUUCCAGUGUCCUUGCCUGGAGAAUCCCAUGGACAGAGGAGCCUGGCGGGCUACAGUCCCUGGGAUGGCAAAGAGUCAGAUAGGACUGAGCCACUAACACUUUCACUUUCAUGCACUCUGUACCCACCUUGAGUCCUGAGCCCCAUCCAGGAGCACCUGAGCCCCCAUUACGACCCGCGCCACCCUCCCAGGGAAGCACCACACCCUUAGGAGCCUUGCUAGCCCGAGGAGCUGUCCAGAGCGUCAACAGAGGAAGAAUUCCUCGCACCACCCACCAUCCCGCUGACCACGUGAGCCCCGUGGACAGGACAGCCGCAGGCUGUCAGGAUGUCACAGGGUGUCGAAGGAGGGCCACAUGGAGGGGCGCACGCCGUUCACAGACCACUGCCAUGCCGCCGCCUGUCCCUGCCAGUGUCCCCUGACUGCCGAAGCCUUGGCACGAAGGUCUCAGAGUGGGGCCCGGUCCCCGCGCAUGGCUGGCGCGUUCUCAGAUGCCACCCUCCUGUGGUCCCUGCCCUUCUGCUGAGCCUGGUUGUCUUUCUGUGGAUUCUAUGAGCCACUUGAUAUCCUUCUAGUAGUCCCUGUUUCUGCUUGAAUGAGUCCACGGUUUAUGCCAUUGGCAAGCAAGGGUGGGCCACAGCUCCCUCCCAGGGCUGCUGGAAGCACUGCUGGCUGGAGGGGGGCACCCGGGGCAGAGGUCAUUUGUGAGGGAGCACUACAGGGGGAGCACCGUGAGGGAGCAUCAUGAGGGAGCUGGAGCCCUGGGCUGACCCGAGGCCUGGGGGCCCCGGACCCCAAGCCUGGUCCUGGAGGGUUAGCGUGUGUGACAUGGAGGCCAAGAGUCCUGAGCACAGGGAGCCGGCUCCGCUGACCAGCUCAUCACCAAGAAAUCCAGGAGGCCUCCUCGCGCCCCCAGAGGGGUGGAAGUUUGGCACCAGCAGGGACCGAGGGCCCUGGGGGCUGAGGCGGAGGGACCUGGGGUGGGGGAAACAGCCAUUUCUUUUAUCUUUGCAUGUUUAGAGGUACGGCGUAGACACUCACACUGCACCAACGUCAGGGUCCUGGUUUUGAUACUGAAUAUAGUUAGCUAAGACGUUGCCACUGGAGAAGCCAGUGAAGGAGACACCUGUGGACCUCUGUGUAUUAUUUGUGUAACUUCCUGUAAGUCUAUAGUUAU
ensembl:lncRNA